rnacentral:rRNA from 3 species
GGGUUCGAUUCUGGCUCAGGAUGAACGCUGGCGGCGUGCUUAACACAUGCAAGUCGAACGAGUGGCGAACGGGUGAGUAAUGCGUGACCGACCUGCCCCAUGCACCGGAAUAGCUCCUGGAAACGGGUGGUAAUGCCGGAUGCUGAAAGGCGGCAUGGGAUGGGGUCGCGUCCUAUCAGCUUGAUGGCGGGGUAACGGCCCACCAUGGCUUCGACGGGUAGCCGGCCUGAGAGGGCGACCGGCCACAUUGGGACUGAGAUACGGCCCAGACUCCUACGGGAGGCAGCAGUGGGGAAUAUUGCACAAUGGGCGCAAGCCUGAUGCAGCGACGCCGCGUGCGGGAUGACGGCCUUCGGGUUGUAAACCGCUUUUGAUCGGGAGCAUGAGUGUACCUUUCGAAUAAGCACCGGCUAACUACGUGCCAGCAGCCGCGGUAAUACGUAGGGUGCAAGCGUUAUCCGGAAUUAUUGGGCGUAAAGGGCUCGUAGGCGGUUCGUCGCGUCCGGUGUGAAAGUCCAUCGCUUAACGGUGGAUCUGCGCCGGGUACGGGCGGGCUGGAGUGCGGUAGGGGAGACUGGAAUUCCCGGUGUAACGGUGGAAUGUGUAGAUAUCGGGAAGAACACCAAUGGCGAAGGCAGGUCUCUGGGCCGACUGACGCUGAGGAGCGAAAGCGUGGGGAGCGAACAGGAUUAGAUACCCUGGUAGUCCACGCCGUAAACGGUGGAUGCUGGAUGUGGGGCGUUCCGUGUCGGAGCUAACGCGUUAAGCAUCCCGCCUGGGGAGUACGGCCGCAAGGCUAAAACUCAAAGAAAUUGACGGGGGCCCGCACAAGCGGCGGAGCAUGCGGAUUAAUUCGAUGCAACGCGAAGAACCUUACCUGGGCUUGACAUGCACAGGUGGUGCAUGGUCGUCGUCAGCUCGUGUCGUGAGAUGUUGGGUUAAGUCCCGCAACGAGCGCAACCCUCGCCCUGUGUUGCCAGCACGUGGGAACUCACGGGGGACCGCCGGGGUCAACUCGGAGGAAGGUGGGGAUGACGUCAGAUCAUCAUGCCCCUUACGUCCAGGGCUUCACGCAUGCUACAAUGGCCGGCAACGGGAUGCGACACGGCGACGUGGAGCGGAUCCCUGCCGGUCUCAGUUCGGAUGGAGUCUGCAACCCGACUCCAGAAGGCGGAGUCGCUAGUAAUCGCGGAUCAGCAACGCCGCGGUGAAUGCGUUCCCGGGCCUUGUACACACCGCCCGUCAAGUCAUGAAAGUGGGUAGCACCCGAAGCCGGUGCCUAUGGAGCCGUCUAAGGUGAGACUCGUGAUUGGGACUAAGUCGUAACAAGGUAGCCGUACCGGAAGGUGCGGCUG